rnacentral:lncRNA from 1 species
GAGUGUUACUGUCCCAGGUCUCACAGUAAUAAUCAGCCUCAUCCUCAAACUGGAGCUUCAUCAAGUACCGAGGGGCCUUCCCUGGCUGCUGCUGAUGCCAUGCGAUGAUGUAGCUACUGUGCCCACUGCUCAGAGUGCAGGUGAGCUUGACCGAGGCUCCCAGGGAGGCAGAGGCAGAGGGCGAUUGAGUCAGCACAAGCUGGGAGAGAGACCCUGAAAACACAGACACCCAUUACCGGCUGGAGUCAAGAAAAGAGGGAAGGACAUUCCUGGCAUAAGUUUGGGAGGUGGUAUCAGUGAGCUGGAGGUCAGGGUGCUGAGGGCCAUCCUGACCUG